AUACCUUUUUUGGCCUUUUGGCUAAGAUCAAGUGUAGUAUCCGUUUUUAUCAGUUCAAUAUCUGAUAUGUGGACUACAUUUCCACAAUGAUAUUAAAUUUAUUUUUUAUGGGGAGGGUCCACCACAUAUUUGUCACCUAGGCGUUGCACUAUUGCCUAGUCUGGCGCAUCUCAA
rfam:Triticum aestivum genome assembly, contig: Triticum_aestivum_CS42_TGACv1_scaffold_513787_6BS